GACAUCAGAGGAGUAUACAAAAAGGGGGCUGGUAGAGUCUACCGAGGAAAAGGUACCAACAUUCGUAUUAGAAGCCAUGAUUAAUGAACCAGCUUGAAAGAAAAACAGUAUCGACAAGCAAAAUAUGACGGAACCAGAUACUCACAUACAAAGCGUACAAUACUCAAAAUAAGGACAGAGUUACCCUCCUUCUUCGCGACCGGAGAAGAU
rnacentral:lncRNA from 1 species